UGAUCGGAUACCCAUUACCCGAACCCGAUUAACUAUACUAACAAAACUAAUCCUAAUCCCUAAUUUAUUUUUUCAUCUCUCUCUCUCCCUCGCUUCCCUUCCCAUAGUUCUCAGUCACGCCUCUCCCCCACUUCACUGACAACUGCCGACAGCCCAGUCAUCACCGGCAACGUCUCCUUUCUCUCCCCAGUCGACGAUAAAUCUUCUCUCUCCCCCGUCAAUAUCUCCUUCUCUCUCUCCAGCGGCGACAUCUCCGACUUUCCAGUUGAAGACAACUCUUCCCUCUGCCCGGUCGGCGUCGGCGAUAUUUCCUUCUCUCUCCCCAGUCAGGUGAAAUCUACUCUUUUCGAUUUACGCUUCUCUCCCCACACUUCACUGACGCUAGAGACAACACUUCUCUCCUCAAUCGGCGACAUCUGCUUUGACUAUAACUCUCUUUCAAGUUUCAAGAUUUUUUAUGUGUAUGUUCUUAAAGAAUUUUAUAAUUUAUGAACUAUUAAUAUAAUUAUUUGGAUAUGUUAAAAAAUCUAAUUAUUUGCUAUUUGAUUAAUGUAAUACUGUUGAUUUUUAAAUUUAUGGACAAUUAAUCUAAUUAUUUGAUUAUAAAUCAUUAUUUGCUGGGUUGCUGAGUUGCUGGAUCUUGUCAUUGAACAUUUCUCCUCCUACCGGGUUGUGCCAACUGUUAGAUAGUUUAUUUGGUUUUGUCAUUGAAUUGAAUUAAAAAAAUUAUUUGCUGAGUUGCUGAGUUGCUGGUUUGUAUCGGGUUCGGGUAUUGUGCGGGUAUUGUUAAACGGAUUUGGGACGGGUUCGGAUAGUAAAAUUAAAAUAUUAAACGGAUUUGGGACGGGUUCGGAAAUUGUAUAUAUAAUCGGGUUCGGAUUUGGG
rnacentral:lncRNA from 1 species